rnacentral:rRNA from 1 species
UACGUAGGGGGCAAGCGUUGUCCGGAUUUAUUGGGCGUAAAGAGCGUGUAGGCGGCUUUACAGGUCCGUUGUGAAAACUCGAGGCUCAACCUCGAGACGCCGGUGGAAACCGUAAGGCUAGAGUCCGGAAGAGGAGAGUGGAAUUCCUGGUGUAGCGGUGAAAUGCGCAGAUAUCAGGAGGAACACCCGUGGCGAAAGCGGCUUUCUGGACAGAUACCGACGCUGAGGCACGAAAGCUAGGGGAGCAAACAGG